GGGGAAUGGGAGGAGGAUUCAUUCAGUAAAUUUUGUUUAGAAAAGUGGGCAGUGAUAAAGGCCUCUUGAAAUCCUUGGAAUUGUCAUUCACAUUUUAUUAAACUUCAAUAUAGCAUUUAAUUACAACUUGUUCUCUACCUUACAAAUUCUAGACCACUCUAUACAUACUACUUAUUAAUCUAGAGAUUAUCAUACAUCCUUCACUAAUAUAACAAAUUCUACUACCACAGCAGCUAGCCCAAAGCAGGAAGUCUCUCCAACAACACCAGUAGCUAUAGAACUAAUAUCAGCCAUCAAAAAGCUAUCAAUUGGUAUCAAAUGAAAAGAAAAUUUAGCAAGGAAUGGGAGGAAAAAUGGAACUCAUUAAUGAGUCGAUUUGACUGCUAGAUGUUGCAACAAGAAAGGGGAGAUCGGGAAAAGGAUUUGGGAUUGGAUUUACUAGGUCGACUAAGAAUAUCAAUAUUCUAUGAUGACGAUCCAGAUUGGUGGCUAGGAAAAGCAGACAAAAUUUUCUCAAGGAAUCAAUUGUUGGAGAAGGAAAAAGUGGAAGCCAUUGUAGCAUGCUUGGACGGUGAAGCAUAGGAGUAGUUUCAAUGGUUAGAUCGCCGUCAACCUAUGGAAACUUGGGGAGAAUUGAAAGAGGGGAUGACAGUCAGAUUUUCGCCCGUCCAUAGGAGAGAACUCACAGGACGUACCUUUACUUCUAAAAUUCCAAACAAGAUCGCUGAGGCAGGCGUGAACGUGGAAGGAUCAAAUGAAGUCAGUUAUGGAGGAAUCACAAAGGAAACAUACCAGAACAUAGAGGAAAAGGAGGUCGUAUUCACUUCGUCUGAACCAACCAUUAUUUCUGAAACUCCGCUGCAAUUGGAGUAAAUUAGGACAAUUGUACCUAACUGAACCACCAUGUGGAAGAAGUGAAGAUAGAGAUACACAGCUAUAAACUGGACAAAUUAUUUGAAAUCGUUUCAACACCAUUACUGGUGACUUCAGAGGGGGUGUUCGAGGAAAAUUUUAACAAUUGUGAAACCCCACCCAAACAGGAGAAAAUCAGAUUAAGUACAGGCGUCCAGCAUCUUAGGGAAUACCGGAGGCCAUUCGAAGUCAGGAUCCAUUCUGAAAUUCCCAUCACAAUCAAAGAAGGAGCUAGCACGGUCGAUGGAAACAAUCGUGAGAAAAAUGCCGAUAGAUGAAACCUAAGAUUGGUUUUUGGCAGGAAAUCUUGGCUAUGGGCAGCAAUCAUAGGUUAAGGUUGAAGUCAAAAUGAGGCAGCAAUGUUUGGGCCAAAAUAGAGAUUUAGCCCAAAUGAUAGAGGUCCAAAAAGAGCCUCUAAAAAAAAGCUCAAAUUGAUUCUGGCCCAUAUGAAAUUAAAAUCAAUUUUUACAGUCCCA
rnacentral:lncRNA from 1 species